GCCCGCGUAGCUCAGUGGUAGAGCAUUGUACUUAUGAGGUUACACCAACCCUGUGCUGCCUGGUUCCGCCAGAAAACACAUGACAUGUAUGCAAGGGUCUCCAGUUCAAUCCUGGGCGUGGGCA
rfam:Cylindrobasidium torrendii FP15055 ss-10 unplaced genomic scaffold CYLTOscaffold_31, whole genome shotgun sequence.